rnacentral:rRNA from 1 species
UACGUAGGGGGCAAGCGUUGUCCGGAAUCAUUGGGCGUAAAGCGCGUGUAGGCGGCUCGGUAAGUCCGCUCUGAAAGUCCAGGGCUCAACCCUGGGAUGCGGGUGGAUACUGCCGAGCUCGAGUCCGGAAGAGGCGAGUGGAAUUCCUGGUGUAGCGGUGAAAUGCGCAGAUAUCAGGAGGAACACCAAUGGCGAAGGCAGCUCGCUGGGACGUGACUGACGCUGAGACGCGAAAGCGUGGGGAGCGAACAGG